UUGAACGCUGGCGGCAUGCCUUACACAUGCAAGUCGAACGGCAGCACGGGAGCAAUCCUGGUGGCGAGUGGCGAACGGGUGAGUAAUAUAUCGGAACGUGCCCAGUCGUGGGGGAUAACGUAGCGAAAGCUACGCUAAUACCGCAUACGAUCUACGGAUGAAAGCGGGGGAUCGCAAGACCUCGCGCGAUUGGAGCGGCCGAUAUCGGAUUAGCUAGUUGGUGAGGUAAAGGCUCACCAAGGCGACGAUCCGUAGCGGGUCUGAGAGGACGACUCGCCACACUGGAACUGAGACACGGUCCAGACUCCUACGGGAGGCAGCAGUGGGGAAUUUUGGACAAUGGGGGAAACCCUGAUCCAGCCAUUCCGCGUGAGUGAAGAAGGCCUUCGGGUUGUAAAGCUCUUUCAGCAGGAACGAAACGGUCGGCUUUAAUAAAGUCGGCUAAUGACGGUACCUGCAGAAGAAGCACCGGCUAACUACGU
rnacentral:rRNA from 1 species